rnacentral:tRNA from 1 species
GCCUAGGUGGCUCAGUAAGCUGAGCGUCUGAUUUUGGCUCAGGUCAUGAUCUCACAGGGUGUGGGUUCGAGCCCCGCGUCGGGCU